rnacentral:rRNA from 1 species
UGAGUACGAGACGCUAAGGCGUCGAAGUAGUGUAUGUCAUACUUCCAGGAAGAGCUUGCACUGUCAUUCAUAAAAAAUGCCUGUACCAUAACCGACACAGGUGGGUAGGUAGAGUAUACUAAGGGGCGCGAGAUAACUCUCUCUAAGGAACUCGGCAAAAUAACUCCGUAACUUCGGGAGAAGGAGUGCCUUAUUUAUAUAAGGUUGCAAUAACAAGAUCCAAGCAACUGUUUACCAAAAACACAGGUCUCCGCUAAGUCGUAAGACGAUGUAUGGGGGCUGACGCCUGCCCAGUGCCAGAAGGUUAAAGAAGUUGGUUAGCAAUAGCGAAGCUGAUAACUGAAGCCCUGGUGAACGGCGGCCGUAACAAUAACGGUCCUAAGGUAGCGAAAUUCCUUGUCGGGUAAGUUCCGACCCGCACGAAAGGCGUAAUGAUUUGGAUACUGUCUCGGAGAGGGACUCGGUGAAAUAGACUUGUCUGUGAAGAUGCGGACUACCUGCACCUGGACAAAAGACCCUAUGAAGCUCUACUGUAACUUGAAAUUGAAAUUGGACUUUAUUCGCGCAGUAUAGGUGGGAGGCGUUGAAAAUAAUCUUGCGGGAAUAUUUGAGCCAUCAGUGAGAUACCACUCUUAUAAUGUUAGAUUUCUAACUUUGAAUCAUUAUCUGGUCAAAGAACAGUUUCAGGCGGGCAGUUUGACUGGGGCGGUCGCCUCCUAAAUGGUAACGGAGGCGUACAAAGGUUUCCUCUGAACGGGUAGAAAUCGUAUCUAGAGUAUAAAGGCAAAAGGAAGCUUGACUGUGAGACCUACAAGUCGAGCAGGGACGAAAGUCGGUCUUAGUGAUCUGACGGUACUGAGUGGAAAGGCCGUCACUCAACGGAUAAAAGUUACUCUAAGGAUAACAGGCUGAUCUCCCCCAAGAGUUCACAUCGACGGGGAGGUUUGGCACCUCGAUGUCGGCUCAUCGCAUCCUGGGGCGGUAGUACGUCCCAAGGGUUGGGCUGUUCGCCCAUGAAAGCGGUACGCGAGCUGGGUUCAGAACGUCGUGAGACAGUUCGGUCCAUAUCCGGUGUAGGCGUUAGAAUAUUGAGAGGAGCCUUCUCUAGUACGAGAGGACCGAGAAGGACAUACCUCUGGUGUACCAGUUAUCGUGCCAACGGUAAACGCUGGGUAGCUAUGUAUGGAGUGGAUAACCGCUGAAAGCAUCUAAGUGGGAAGCCCACCUCAAGAUGAGUAUUCUC